rnacentral:rRNA from 1 species
GUAGCUUACCAGAAANGGACGGCUAACUACGUGCCAGCAGCCGCGGUAAUACGUAGNUCCCGAGCGUUGUCCGGAUUUAUUGGGCGUAAAGGGAGCGCAGGCGGUCAGGAAAGUCUGGAGUAAAAGGCUAUGGCUCAACCAUAGUGUGCUNUGGAAACUGUCUGACUUGAGUGCAGAAGGGGAGAGUGGAAUUCCAUGUGUAGCGGUGAAAUGCGUAGAUAUAUGGAGGAACACCAGUGGCGAAAGCGGCUCUCUGGUCUGUCACUGACGCUGAGGCUCGAAAGCGUGGGUAGCGAACAGGAUUAGAUACCCUGGUAGUCCACGCCGUAAACGAUGAGUGCUAGGUGUUAGGCCCUUUCCGGGGCUUAGUGCCGGAGCUAACGCAAUAAGCACUCCGCCUGGGGAGUACGACCGCAAGGUUGAAACUCAAAGGAAUUGACGGGGGCCCGCACAAGCGGUGGAGCAUGUGGUUUAAUUCGAAGCAACGCGAAGAACCUUACCAGGUCUUGACAUCCCGAUGCUAUUCUUAGAGAUAGGAAGUUACUUCGGUACAUCGGAGACAGGUGGUGCAUGGUUGUCGUCAGCUCGUGUCGAGAGAUGUUGGGUUAAGUCCCGCAACGAGCGCAACCCUUAUUGUUAGUUGCCAUCAUUAAGUUGGGCACUCUAGCGAGACUGCCGGUAAUAAACCGGAGGAAGGUGGGGAUGACGUCAAAUCAUCAUGCCCCUUAUGACCUGGGCUACACACGUGCUACAAUGGUCGGUACAACGAGUUGCGAGCCGGUGACGGCAAGCUAAUCUCUGAAAGCCGAUCUCAGUUCGGAUUGGAGGCUGCAACUCGCCUCCAUGAAGUCGGAAUCGCUAGUAAUCGCGGAUCAGCACGCCGCGGUGAAUACGUUCCCGGGCCUUGUACACACCGCCCGUCACACCACGAGAGUUUGUAACACCCGAAGUCGGUGAGGUAACCUUUUAGGGGCCAGCCG